UUUAACAUCGCUAUCUCUUUCAAUAAAAUAAAAUCUAUGAUAAGAAACUUGGGCUUAGACUACAAAAAGAUUGAUGCAUGCCCCAACAAUUGCAUGUUGUUUUGGAAAGAGCAUGUAAAUGAUGACUUAUGUCAUAAUUGUGGAGCCUCAAGGUGGGUUGAUUUUCCUGAAGUGGAUCAUGGCCUUAAAGAAUCUAAAAAGGCUCACAAAGUUCCUAUCAAAGUGCUAAGACAUUUUCCUUUAAUUCCGCGACUGAAAAGGCUUUUUAUGUGUUCAAAGACAGCUAAUUCUUUGAGGUGGCAUGCAGAAGAGCGUUCAAGGGAUGGCUAGUUAAGGCAUCCUGCUGAUGGCCAAACAUGGAAAGACUUUGACUCAAAGCAUCAAGAAUUUGCUCCUGAUACUCGUAAUAUGAGGCUUGGGUUGGCCAGUGAUGGGUUCAAUCCGUUUAGAAAUAUGAGCUUAUCAUAUAGCACAUGGCAUGUGGUUUUAACAACAUAUAAUUAUCCUCCAGAUUUGUGUUUGAAGGCAGAAAAUUGGAUGAUGUCAUUACUUAUUCUUGGACCACGAUCUCCUGGAAAUGCAAUUGAUGUUUAUCUACAGCCACUCAUUGAGGAGCUUAAGUUGUUGUGGGAUGUUGGGGUAGAUACAUAUGAUAUUUCUAGAAAUCAAACAUUUAAAUUGCAUGCAUCUCUUUUGUGGACUGUUAAUGACUACCCUGCAUAUGCUAUGUUAUCUGGUUGGAGGACUAAAGGGAAGUUGGCCUGCCCUGCAUGUAAUUAUGUAACUUCUUCUACUUACUUAAAACAUAGCAUGAAGAUGUGCUAUAUGGGGCAUAGAGUCUUUGUAGAUUCAAAUCAUGAGUGGAGAUAAAAAACAGCCGCAUUAAAUGGAAAGACAGAAUAUAGGACUGCACCUUCCUUGUUAGAUGCAAGAACUAUUUUAGAACACUUACAAGGCAUCCCCGACGUAUUAGGGAAGAAUAAGAAGAGAAAGAGAGAUGGUCCAUGGAAGAAAAAAUCUAUCUUUUGGAAACUACCAUAUUGGAAUGAUAUUGCUUUAUGACAUAACUUGGAUGUAAUGCAUAUAGAGAAGAACAUAUGUGAUAAUAUACUUGGGACUCUCUUAGAGAUCGAAGGGAAGAGAAAAGAUCAUGCAAAUGCUCGUUUGGAUCUACAAGACAUGGGGAUUAGAAAAAGGCUUCAUUUAAAGGCAACAAGUGAUGGUAAGAAAACUAAGCUCCCAAAAGCAUGUUUCACCUUGACCAAACAAGAGAAAUCUAUUUUCUGUGGUGUUUUCAAGGAAGUAAAAAUUCCUGAUGGCCUUGCUUCCAAUAUUUCUAGAUGUGUGCAAGUUGAUGAAGGGAAAAUUUAUGGAUACAAGAGUCAUGAAGCUCAUAUUAUACACCAUCACUUAUUACAAGUAGCAAUCAAAGGGAUAUCCCCUAGUCAAGUUGCUGUCCUUUUGAUUCGACUUUCUUCCUUUUUUCGGUGUUUAUAUCAAAAGGUUAUUGAGGUCAAAACUUUAGAUCAUCUGGAAGUAGGGAUUGCAGAAAUACUUUGCCAAUUUUAGCAAAUCUUCCCUCCAAGUUUUUUUGACAUUAUGGUUCACUUACCAAUUCACCUUGCAAAUGAUAUUACAUUAGGGGUACCGGUUCAAUUUCGAUGGAUGUAUUACAUGGAAAGAUAUUUGGGUGCUUUAAAAUCUAUUGUUCGUAAUAAGUGCUAUCCGGAAGGUUCUAUUGCUUAAGCAUACUUGGUUAAAGAAUCUCUAACAUUUUGCUCAAGAUAUUUGUCUUGUGGUGUUGACACGGGACUGCAUAGAAUGACAUGGAAUAGUGAUGAAGUCCCUUAAAUUGGUCAUCAUAUUGGGGCUAGGAAAUUAUUUUCUCUUGAUCAGAAGUCAUACAACCAAGCCCAUGACUGCAUCUUAUUCAAUUGUGAUGACGUGCAGGAGUAUAUUAGGGAGCAUGAAGUUAAUGUUCACAAUCACCAAAAAAAGAAGAAAGUGAAGAAAAGCUAAAAGUCAGAGAGAAGAUUUCAUUCAAUGGUUUGAGACACGUGUCAUGAAUGAGGAAAUAUCAGAUUGGAUAAAGGAGUUGUCUAGGGGAACAAAUAGUAUUGCUAAGAGGUAUUUUGGUUGUGUUAUUAAUGGAUACAAAUUUCGUACAAGACAACGUGAUGCGAGGCGAAAAACUCAAAAUUGUGGUGUGACAUUAGGGGCAAUAUCUCCAAGCUUUAAAUCAGCCAAAGAUGAAAAUCCUGAACAAGUUUGUGUGACCUACUAUGGGGCAGUAUCAGAUAUCAUAGAGUUAGAUUAUUAUGGUCAUUUGCAAUAUGUGUUAUUCAAAUGUGAUUGGCUUGAGGAUGAAAAAGACAAAUAUGGGAUGACAUGUGUUUAUUUUAACAAAAAGUGUUACAAGAAUGAUCUAUAUGUGUUAGCAAAUCAAGUGAAACAAUGCUUCUUUAUUGAAGAUCCUUUUAACAAAAAUAAGCACUAUGUUUUGAAGGCAACUAACUCCAAGGGACACAUUCGACAUGGGAGAAAGUUUACACCCAAAUGACCAAGAAUUUUAUUCUGGUGAAACAUUUGAAAGUUCAAUAAGUCCUGCUACACCAGAAGUUGAUUGUGAAAUUGAUUUGGCUCGGGAAGAUGUGCAGGCUGAUAUCAUUGAAAUGUCUUUGGGUGAACUUAAUUUUCGGCAAAGUGAAAGUGAUAGUGAGGCCAGUUUUAAAAGUGAAAAUGAAUGCUGUGAUUACUCGAGUUUUGAAGAUGAUACAUAAGACUUUAUGAAGUAGCUCUAGUUUAUGAUUUUAACAAGAAAAUAAUUACUCAUGUAAGAAAAUAAUUACUCAUGGAGUUUCUUUGAUGUUCCUCUUUCUUAUGAUUAGAACAUUCAGUUCUGGAAAAAAAUGUGUCAUAAGAAAGCUUUUCUUGAUCUACAUUUUGUACUUUAUCUAUAUCAAUGGUUGAUUCCUCAAGAGUUCGUUUC